GUUGGUAGGGUAACGGCCUACCAAGGCCGAGAUGGAUAGCUGGUCUGAGAGGAUGAUCAGCCACACUGGAACUGAGAUACGGUCCAGACUCCUACGGGAGGCAGCAGUGAGGAAUAUUGCGCAAUGGGGGCAACCCUGACGCAGCAACGCCGCGUGAGUGAAGAAGGCCUUCGGGUUGUAAAGCUCUGUCAGGCGGGAAGAAAGGCCGAUAGUUUAAUGGACUAUUGGUUUGACGGUACCGCCGGAGGAAGCACCGGCUAACUCCGUGCCAGCAGCCGCGGUAAGACG
rnacentral:rRNA from 1 species